AUACGGAGGACGCGAGCGUUAUCCGGAUUCAUUGGGUUUAAAGGGUGCGCAGGCGGCCGUGCAAGUCAGCGGUGAAAGCCCGGGGCUCAACCCCGGAAGUGCCGUUGAUACUGCAUGGCUGGAAUGCGGUCGAGGCGGGCGGAACGUGGCGUGUAGCGGUGAAAUGCGUAGAAAUGCCACAGAACGCCGAUGGCGGAGGCGGCGGGCCGGGCUGGCAUUGACGCUGGGGCAGGAAAGGGUGGGGAUGGAACAGGUUUAGAUCCCCUGGUAGUCCCCGCCGUAAACGAUGGGCGCUCGUCGUCGGCGGCAGACAGUCGGCGGCCAAGCGAAAGCGAUAAGCGCCCCGCCUGGGGAGUACGGUCGCAAGGCUGAAACUCAAAUGAAUUGACGGGG
rnacentral:rRNA from 1 species